rnacentral:rRNA from 1 species
UACGUAGGGUGCGAGCGUUAAUCGGAAUUACUGGGCGUAAAGCGUGCGCAGGCGGUUUGUUAAGACAGAUGUGAAAUCCCCGGGCUUAACCUGGGAACUGCAUUUGUGACUGGCAAGCUAGAGUAUGGCAGAGGGGGGUAGAAUUCCACGUGUAGCAGUAAAAUGCGUAGAGAUGUGGAGGAAUACCGAUGGCGAAGGCAGCCCCCUGGGCCAAUACUGACGCUCAUGCACGAAAGCGUGGGGAGCAAACAGG